UACGUAGGGUGCGAGCGUUAAUCGGAAUCACUGGGCGUAAAGCGUGCGCAGGCGGUUUGUUGUGUCGGCGGUGAAAGCCCCGGGCUUAACCUGGGAAUGGCCGUUGAAACUGGCGGACUGGAGUGUGGCAGAGGGGGGUGGAAUUCCGGGUGUAGCGGUGGAAUGCGUAGAGAUCCGGAAGAACACCGGUGGCGAAGGCGGCCUGCUGGGCAGUGGCUGACGCUGAGGCGCGACAGCGUGGGGAGCAAACAGG
rnacentral:rRNA from 1 species